AGGUUCGAGCUAAAACUUUGUGCACGGAGCAAAUUAAAAAGAAUAAAAUAAAAAAUAAAAUAAUAACAGGCAUAAGUAGCUGAAAGAAAAGCGACGACAACAACAAAAGCUGAUGAAUACGUGCGUUCGUGUGGGUGCCGUGCAUUCUGCGUACACAUUUACAAGCAUUCGUACGCUUAAAUUAAAUACUUUGGCUUAAUUAAAUACUUCCGCGGCGUCGUUGUUGUAGUUGUUGAUAUUUUGCCUCUUCACGCGUUGUCUACGGUUAUCGAUUGUCGUCGUCUCGCUCCCUCGUACGCAUACGCAUCGAGUUGUUGUUUGUUUGUUGUUUGUGUCUGUCCUCGCGUUUUGUUUGUGUACUGACAAAAUAACAACAAAAUAAAAGCCGAAAGACUGUGAAUAAGCAUAAAUAAUAAACAACGAGACAAGUGCAAAAAGCGCAGCGAAAAGGCCAGCUGGUAAAUCCAACUCAAAGGAACAUCCAGAGGAACCCGGAAAAUUUAUCACUCCAAUCACAAGUGCAA